rnacentral:lncRNA from 1 species
AAUAAAACAUCUUUCCUUAACUUAAACAUAUCAUAGCUUACAGUAUAAAACAUUUAACAACACCUCUUCAUGGUCUCAUAAAAUAGAAUUACUCAAAUCAUACAUCAAUUUGAUAACAACUCAAUAAUCCUCAAAGUAAAAGAAAACUAACGAUCGCAUCUCAUGUGUUACACUAUCAGAACAAAACAAGAUGCAAAAAAAUGCGGAAAACAACAAAGUAAAUGAGAAGGCCUCAACGCCAUUCUCCCACUCAAAAAUAG